rnacentral:sRNA from 1 species
GAUAAGUGCUUGGAGGGAAGGUGAGAGCCUUCAAUAAGGUCCGAGCCGAGCGAGACACCAAGCAAAGCAUCGGCCCGAAAGGUGAGUGAUGGAUAAUCCUUCGCUGUCACCA